AGCUCCCUGGUUAGGUGGUCACUGCACUCGCCUUGCACGCGGGAGACCCGGGUUCGAUUCCCGGCGGGGUCA
rfam:Asian citrus Psyllid, Diaphorina citri - Florida Strain, whole genome shotgun sequence.